rnacentral:tRNA from 1 species
GCCUCUUUAGCUCAGUCGGUUAGAGCACCUGACUGUUAAUCAGGGUGUCGCCUGUUCGAGUCAGGCAAGAGGCGC